rnacentral:lncRNA from 1 species
CUUUUCACACAGUAAAACCCUGCUUUACUUCCCUUUGAGUCGUCUGUGAGCCUAAAUUUUUGUGGCUGUGGGAAGGACAAGAACCCCAUCUUUAGCUGAAAUAAGGAAAAGUUCCGCAACAUUUUUGGCACACACCCUGGGGGCUCCGGAAGUGGAAUGCUGUCGGAACUGGACCUUGAUGAAGGAAAUACUUUCUGACUCAUUGGAAUUUGUUAUAGUCAAAUUUGCCUAUGUGAUAACUUAGGUCUUCACGAUGGCCCAGAGUAAGACGACGCAGGAGGACCCUUCUAGUCAUUUAAUUAUUGCUUGACCAGAACUGUGCCUUGUAAGGAAGAUAGUGAAAAAAAGGAGGUGUGUACAAUAAGCCCCGCUGGACUGUUAGUUCUUUGAGUGCAAGAAAUGCUUGCUGUUUGGAAACUUGUGAAGACCUGCAUCCCUUUGUAUCUCAAAUAAAGACAGAGGUGUUUCCAGACCUAAGAAUAACAGGAACAUGGAGGAGUGGCAUCUCCAGUGUAGCCACCCACCAAAGCCUCAUCCUGAACACUAUGGCCUAGUGGGUCACUUACAGGGAUGUAGCUGGCAUUGAUGUAGUCAGAGCAAGGAUCAUCAUCUACAUU